UAUUUUUCUGAAGCAUUAAUGCAAACACCAAACCCGUGCCAACAUUAAUACUCCAUAUCUGAAAGAGAUAAGUUAUUCUAUAUAGUAAAAAGCUAAAUGAUUAUCAACAAAGUCGAUACAAUUGCUAUAUCGGAUUUUAUAUUCACUGAUACUCAAAGAAUAUCAAAAUACAAUUACUGCAUUCUUUACAAAUUCUGGAUUUCUUUUUGGUUUAAAAAGAAUUCAUUGAGGCGAUUUGAGGAUUAGCAGCAUAUAUGUCAAACAUUUAAAAGUGUAAACAAAGUAUAGAAGAGCUAGCAAAUAGCGGAAAAAGGAACGCCCAAAAACUUUAUUAAUAUUAAAUAUAGAAAUUUCUUAUGAAAUGGCAAGUUUAAUUCAAAUAUGCCAAAAAUCUCCUUGUUUUAACAAUCGAGAAAACACAGGAAUUCACAAAAUAGCCAUGUACUUGAAAGUCCUUCAUCGCGAAUGUAUUAUUGCAUUUAACAUAUAUUGUUCCAAUUGUACUGCCAGACAAACCAGAAUAAUAUUUUUAACAACAUAGCGUGUUCAAAAACUCAACUUGACUUUUCAUCAAUUAAUCAUUUUUUGUCGAAAUCGUUACAAGUAUUUGAGAGAGCGUAAUGAUUACAUUACUUAAAUCCAGCUGAUGAUGUACAAAAGAUAAUAAUUGCGGUUUUUGAAAAUGAAAGCGAAGUUUAGAAAAGGGCUUGCUAUGUGCAUACUGAAUGUUUAAGCAACAUAAAGACGAUUCUAUU